rnacentral:sRNA from 1 species
AGCAGCCGCGGUAAUUCCAGCUCCAAUAGCGUAUAUUAAAGUUGUUGCAGUUAAAAAGCUCGUAGUUGAAUUUCGGGAUCAAUCUAUCGGUCGUGCAAUAGUACGUACUGAUUUUAUUGAUUCCUACCUUCUGAUGAACUAUGAUGUCAUUAAUUUGGUGUCAUAGGGAAUCAGGACUGUUACUUUAGAAAAAUUAGAGUGUUUAAAGCAGGCUCACGCUUGAAUACAUUAGCAUGGAAUAACGAAAUAGGACGUUUGAUUCUAUUUUGUUGGUUUCUAGGAUCGACGUAAUGAUUAAUAGGGAUAGUUGGGGGCAUUAGUAUUCAAUUGUCAGAGGUGAAAUUCUUGGAUUUAUUGAAGACUAACUACUGCGAAAGCAUUUGCCAAGGAUGUUUUCAUUAAUCAAGAACGAAAGUUAGGGGAUCGAAGACGAUCAGAUACCGUCGUAGUCUUAACCAUAAACUAUGCCGACUAGGGAUCGGAUGAUGUUAAUUUUUAUGACUCUACG